rnacentral:rRNA from 1 species
AUUGAACGCUGGCGGAAUGCUUUACACAUGCAAGUCGAACGGCAGCACGGACUUCGGUCUGGUGGCGAGUGGCGAACGGGUGAGUAAUGUAUCGGAACGUGCCCAGUCGUGGGGGAUAACGUAGUGAAAAUUACGCUAAUACCGCAUACGAUCUAUGGAUGAAAGCGGGGGAUCGCAAGACCUCGCGCGAUUGGAGCGGCCGAUAUCAGAUUAGGUAGUUGGUGGGGUAAAGGCCCACCAAGCCAACGAUCUGUAGCUGGUCUGAGAGGACGACCAGCCACACUGGACGUGAGGAACGGUCCAGACUCCUACGGGAGGCAGCAGUGGGGAAUGUUGGACAAUGGGCGAAAGCCUGAUCCAGUCAUUCCGCGUGCAGGAUGAAGGCCCUCGGGUUGUAAACUGCUUUUGUACAGAACGAAAAGGUUUCUACUAAUACUAGGAGCUCAUGACGGUACUGUAAGAAUAAGCACCGGCUAACUACGUGCCAGCAGCCGCCGUAA